rnacentral:rRNA from 1 species
AGAGUUUGAUCAUGGCUCAGGAUGAACGCUGGCGGCGUGCCUAACACAUGCAAGUCGAGCGAUUCUCUUCGGAGAAGAGCGGCGGACGGGUGGGUAACGCGUGGGUAACCUGCCCUGUACACACGGAUAACAUACCGAAAGGUAUGCUAAUACGAGAUAAUAUGCUUUUAUCGCAUGGUAGAAGUAUCAAAGCUCCGGCGGUACAGGAUGGACCCGCGUCUGAUUAGCUAGUUGGUAAGGUAACGGCUUACCAAGGUGACGAUCAGUAGCCGACCUGAGAGGGUGAUCGGCCACAUUGGAACUGAGACACGGUCCAAACUCCUACGGGAGGCAGCAGUGGGGAAUAUUGCACAAUGGGCGAAAGCCUGAUGCAGCAACGCCGCGUGAGCGAUGAAGGCCUUCGGGUCGUAAAGCUCUGUCCUCAAGGAAGAUAAUGACGGUACUUGAGGAGGAAGCCCCGGCUAACUACGUGCCAGCAGCCGCGGUAAUACGUAGGGGGCUAGCGUUAUCCGGAAUUACUGGGCGUAAAGGGUGCGUAGGUGGUUUCUUAAGUCAGAGGUGAAAGGCUACGGCUCAACCGUAGUAAGCCUUUGAAACUGGGAAACUUGAGUGCAGGAGAGGAGAGUGGAAUUCCUAGUGUAGCGGUGAAAUGCGUAGAUAUUAGGAGGAACACCAGUUGCGAAGGCGGCUCUCUGGACUGUAACUGACACUGAGGCACGAAAGCGUGGGGAGCAAACAGGAUUAGAUACCCUGGUAGUCCACGCCGUAAACGAUGAGUACUAGCUGUCGGAGGUUACCCCCUUCGGUGGCGCAGCUAACGCAUUAAGUACUCCGCCUGGGGAGUACGCUCGCAGAGUGAAACUCAAAGGAAUUGACGG